ACGGGUUCCCAGUGCGAAAGGGAUCCUGGUGGCUCUGGGCCUCUGGUUGGCGACACAGCGGCUCCAAGGCCUCCCUGCCCUGGCUCCGUCAGAAGCACCGACGUGUCCUGUGGCUCCUAGGCGCAGCCAGGGGGCUCCACGCGCUGCCCCCAUCCACGGGCUCCAUAGCGCCCAUUGCCUGGGAACCGUGGGCAAUGGGAGCUGCAGGGCGGUGCCUGCGGGUGAGAGCAGCUAAGCGGAGCCUCCCUGGCUGCCCCUGUGCCUAGGGACCGCAGGGACAUACCGGCCGCUUCCAGGAGCUACGUGAGGUGGGAGGCCUUGAGAUUGGAGCCCGGGAACAGGGGCUACAGGGACUGAGACAGAGUGGCUAUUGUCUCUCAGGGAAUGAAGAACAAGAAUAGAGAAGCCUACGCAAUGCUGGAACACCAGCACCGAGAGAGAGACUAUAACAACAGCCAAGUAGGCAACAAAUAACAAUCAGCAUUCAAAAUGACAGUUUUGCCAGUUCUCACAAUUGUAUUGCAAGUGACACAAUUUUGGAUCCUGCUGCAUACAGUCUUGUGAUGACAAGAAAAUUAUCAUGCAGUUUUGGGAUGCAAAAUACAAGUGCAUGAGCCCCCCACAAUGCACUGUUCUAUAGAGCAAGUUGCACUAUUCUGCAAGUCUAGAGACCAUCAGUUCUAGUCCCAGCUCUUCCACUAGUUAUUAUUAAUCCUUCUAUAUGCUUCAGCCUGAUUAUUAAGUAAGGAUUAAUACAUCAGAUUUCGGGGUUAACUAUAAUUCACCCAUUUCACAGUUAAGGUAACUGAGUAUUUGUACAAAGUCAUAUAAGGCAGAGCUGGAAACAAAAUCCAGGUUUCUAACAUAACAGAGCCAACUCUCAUCCACUUUGCCACUAACUAGGUGCUCCAGUAAUCCAUCAUGUGGCAUUAUGCCACCCUCUAGCAGCUAGACCACACAUAGAGGUUUAUUAUUCUGCUAAUAUUUCCUUAUCUGGUACUUUAGUUCAGUGGUAAAAAUUCAUGCUUUUAUAUUCCCCACAGAUGACAUUAUUCAAAACAAAACAAAACCAAUUUAUCUUAAACCUACAAAACAGGAGUUUUACAAAACAGGUGUGUUGGUUUAGGUUCUUUGUGUGUCAUCUGGCCAUUGUUAUAGCGAGAUGGUCAAGGAAGAAGGAGUGAAGAGACUUAAUGACACCAGAGAACCAUCAACACGCAUCCAUAAUGAAGGAAGGGCAGAUUGACAACCCUGAGGUGGAGGCUGGCACCCCUAAAGACAAGACAAUUGAUUAAAUCGAAACCAGGACAGGAUGACCCUCUCAGAGGUGUUUUGGAAUGUUAACAUCAAAAGAUAACACCAAUUAAGGAGUAACCGGUCACAAACUGACACAGCCAAAUCCAUAGACUUCAACAGAGAAAAAAGACUAUAAGAACAGGGUGCUUGGCCAUGGAACUUUGGGUUCGUUUUGCCACAACUCCAGGAACAUUGGAUCGUGACUGACAGAGCCCGGCUCCCCUCUGCGACUAAUCUGGCUGGCCACUAGAUUGAUCCAGACUCUGGACUAGUAACUAUAAACAUCAACUGGCAGGACUGUGUGUGUGUGUGUGUCUGUGUGUGUGAGAGAGAGAGAGAGACUGAAAAGCAUAUGCUAACUGCUGUAUU